rnacentral:tRNA from 1 species
GCGGCGCAGCAGGGCGAUGCGCGCCUGCCACUGGCGCAGCUCCGGCGUCCAUGGCAGCAGUUCGAGACCCUUGCGCCGCACCA